AGAGUUUGAUCAUGGCUCAGGACGAACGCUAGCGGCGUGCCUAAACUAUGCAAGUCGAGCGGGGUUCCAGUGCAAAGUCUCCUUCGGGAGAUGGCGCGCUGUAACCUAGCGGCGAACGGGUGAGUAACACGUGAGCGACCUGCCCCGUUGACCGGGAUAACAAGCCGAAAGGCCUGCUAAUACCGGAUACGAAGCUCCGUCGCAUGGCGGAGCUUGGAAAGGGGAAACCCGCAAUGGGAGGGGCUCGCGGCCCAUCAGCUUGUUGGUAGGGUAACGGCCUACCAAGGCGACGACGGGUAGCCGACCUGAGAGGGUGACCGGCCACACUGGGACUGAGACACGGCCCAGACUCCUACGGGAGGCAGCAAGUGGGAAUAUUGUCCAAUGGGCGAAAGCCUGAGACAGCGACGCCGCGUGAGGGAUGAAGGCCUUCGGGUCGUAAACCUCUGUUGAUGGGGACGAAGAUCUGACGGUACCCAUCGAGGAAGCCCCGGCUAACUCCGUGCCAGCAGCCGCGGUAAUACGGAGGGGGCAAGCGUUGUCCGGAUUUACUGGGCGUAAAGAGCACGUAGGCGGUCUUUUAAGUCGGCUGUGAAAGCGCUGGGCUCAACCCAGCAAGGUCAGUCGAUACUGAUAGACUUGAGUCCGGGAGAGGGAAGUGGAAUAGCUGGUGUAGCGGUGGAAUGCGUAGAUAUCAGCUAGAACACCGGUGGCGAAGGCGGCUUCCUGGACCGGUACUGACGCUGAGGUGCGAAAGCUAGGGGAGCGAACCGGAUUAGAUACCCGGGUAGUCCUAGCCGUAAACGAUGGUCACUAGGUGUUGCGGGUAUCGACCCCUGCAGUGCCGGAGCUAACGCAUUAAGUGACCCGCCUGGGGAGUACGGCCGCAAGGCUGAAACUCAAACUGGAAUUGACGGGGCCCCGCACAAGCGGUGGAGCAUGUGGCUCAAUUCGAGGCUACGCGAAGAACCUUACCAGGGCUUGACAUCCGCGGAAUCCCGCCGAAAAGUGGGAGUGCCCUUCGGGGAGCCGCGUGACAGGUGGUGCAUGGCUGUCGUCAGCUCGUGUCGUGAGAUGUUGGGUUAAGUUCCGCAACGAGCGCAACCCUCGUCCUAUGUUGCCAUCAGUUCGGCUGGGCACUCAUAGGGGACUGCCAGAGUAAUCUGGAGGAAGGUGGGGAUGACGUCAAGUCCGCAUGCCCCUUACGUCCUGGGCUGCACACAUGCUACAAUGGGCGGUACAGAGGGAAGCAAUACCGCGAGGUGGAGCCGAUCCCAAAAAACCGUCCUCAGUUCGGAUCGGAGUCUGCAACUCGACUCCGUGAAGUCGGAAUCGCUAGUAACCGCAGGUCAGCAACACUGCGGUGAAUACGUUCCCGGGGCUUGUACACACCGCCCGUCAAGCGAUGAAAGUCGGUUGCACCCGAAGUCACUGGCCUAACCCGCAAGGGCAGGAGGUGCCGAAGGUGCGGUCGGCGAUUGGCGCUAAGUCGUAACAAGGUAACC
rnacentral:rRNA from 1 species